UGCCAUGAAUUAACUCUUCUCUGGGUGGGA
rnacentral:piRNA from 1 species